rnacentral:rRNA from 1 species
UAGGGAAUCUUCGGCAAUGGACGAAAGUCUGACCGAGCAACGCCGCGUGAGUGAAGAAGGUUUUCGGAUCGUAAAACUCUGUUGUUAGAGAAGAACAAGGACGUUAGUAACUGAACGUCCCCUGACGGUAUCUAACCAGAAAGCCACGGCUAACUACGUGCCAGCAGCCGCGGUAAUACGUAGGUGGCAAGCGUUGUCCGGAUUUAUUGGGCGUAAAGCGAGCGCAGGCGGUUUCUUAAGUCUGAUGUGAAAGCCCCCGGCUCAACCGGGGAGGGUCAUUGGAAACUGUGGGUCUUGAGUGCAGAAGAGGAGAGUGGAAUUCCAUGUGUAGCGGUGAAAUGCGUAGAUAUAUGGAGGAACACCAGUGGCGAAGGCGGCUCUCUGGUCUGUAACUGACGCUGAGGCUCGAAAGCGUGGGGAGCAAACAGG